CGGGGGACUCGCAAGAGCCUCGCGCGAUUGGAGCGGCCGAUAUCAGAUUAGGUAGUUGGUGGGGUAAAGGCUCACCAAGCCAACGAUCUGUAGCUGGUCUGAGAGGACGACCAGCCACACUGGAACUGAGACACGGUCCAGACUCCUACGGGAGGCAGCAGUGGGGAAUUUUUGGACAAUGGACGCAAGUCUGAUCCAGCCAUUCCGCGUGCAGGAUGAAGGCCCUCGGGUUGUAAACUGCUUUUGUACGGAACGAAAAGGUUUCUAUUAAUACUAGGAGCUCAUGACGGUACCGUAAGAAUAAGCACCGGCUAACUACGUG
rnacentral:rRNA from 1 species